CAGUAGCCGCGGUAAUACGUAGGUGGCAAGCGUUGUCCGGAAUUAUUGGGCGUAAAGGGCUCGCAGGCGGUUUCUUAAGUCUGAUGUGAAAGCCCCCGGCUCAACCGGGGAGGGUCAUUGGAAACUGGGAAACUUGAGUGCAGAAGAGAAGAGUGGAAUUCCACGUGUAGCGGUGAAAUGCGUAGAGAUGUGGAGGAACACCAGUGGCGAAAGCGGCUCACUGGACCAUAACUGACGCUGAUGCACGAAAGCUAGGGGAGCAAACAGGAUUAGAUACCCCCGUAGUCCCUGUCUCUUAUAC
rnacentral:rRNA from 1 species